rnacentral:lncRNA from 1 species
UGAGAGUGAUCUGAGCCUCUCAACUUAAAAAAAAAAAGAUAAUUACACUGGAUCAAGCGGGAAGUUUUCCAGAAAAGGGAGCUACCAAAGUCAUUCUGAACUCAUGGAACAAGAGGAAGAGCUGUUAAAAUUAUACUUGCUUCUUAACUCAAGGAUUCUUUCUUCAUCUUGGUGAGCAAACAGCUUUGUUGAAAAAUAAAGCUCAGACCAGCCAAGAUUGGCCUCAAGGGGAGGAGAGUCUCAGAAGCUGGUGUGGUAAUGGCCUCCAGCCUGGGGAAGGUGGUGUGGACUUUCCUCUCUGUUGGGUCAGUUUUGUGCAGAGCUGGGGAAUACUGGGGAAAAGUGCUCCAUCCCAGGGUGACCACCCAGCUCCAUCAGUCCAGGGACAAUGACACCAUAUUGAUGUUGCUUCUGGCAAGGACCUGACCACUAGUUAUUUCUGGGAUUCUCUGGGGGUAAAAAUAGGGUCACAAAACAGUUAUAAAAUAUUACCUUUCUAAUUAUACUGCCAGCCCGUAAACUGUGGAACAGAACACGCUUUGUGGGGUUUAAGAACCAACUCUCCAUCAGCACAAAGACCUCCCCUCUCUGCUUUCCGCACACUGUAAGUUUGCCCCUCUGGCUUCAUUUCCAGCCCAGACACAGGCAGGUCAAGCUUGGAGAUCAGGUCCUUCUGCUGCCUAGAUCUGAACCAGUCACCCCUAAAGGGCCUUGGCUGCCCUUUUGUUCCUUUUGAUGCUGGUGGGAGUAUCAAUAGGCAUCACUUAGCACUGCCUGUGUACUUGCAAUGUGCUAAGUCCUGAAGGCACAGGUCCCACUGUGAUCCCAUUUCACAGCUGAGAAAACUGAGGCUCUGAGCAGUCCUGUGGUCCUUCUCUUCCACAAAGCUGCUGUAAAGUCUGAAGAAAAGUCUGGGCUCCCUCGGUCUCUCUCCACCUUUGCAGCCUCCUUGCCCUUCUCCUCGACCCAGGCCAUUCUUUUUCCUAUCCUUUCUCCAACCAGAUGUCACCCCAACACCUGUACACACCCCAUCCAGCUCGGCCACAGAACUGACUCUCACUCAGGAUGAAAGCAGUCUCCUUUCUUUUCAGUGAAAACCUGCCUUGACCCUUAAACCUGAUGCUUGGCAUUCCCUGAUGCAACCAAACUGACUUCAGCCUGAGAUCCAACAUGAGGCUGAGCCAUCAGGACUGCCUUGGCUGGACAUUUCUCUCCCUCCUGCCAGGUACCCUGUUCUCAACCUCUGACUGGCUGUCACCUUCAGACUGCUUUUAAUGGAGCAAAACGCAAGCUUUGCAAUAAUAAGGGGCUUCAACAAAAGCCUGUUCAGAACAGAGAGAGAAUUUGAGGAAUCUCAAAGCUGAAAUCAGUCUGGUUAAGUUGGGAAAUGCAGUGCUACAAGUUGGGCCAACAGCCCUAGAGGCCUACAGGGACAGAAGGACCCCACACAUAAAGCAUUAGAUCAGUUCCUGGCACGUGGCAAAUCCUCACUAUAUAUUAGCUACCAUUCUGUAUUAUUUGAAUGCUCUACAAAGAGAUGGUACAUCUGCUCUUAUUUAGCAAGCAUAGGUGUUAGAGUUCAUCAAUUUCUUUCAAAAGGAAGUGAACGCGCACAUUACUCUCCCCUGGGAGUGCAAAACUCAAUCCUGCCAACUCAAGGUAAACUGUCACUGUCAGGAGUCCUCACCUGGCACAGUGUGGUGGCACAGUGUCCACCACAGCUUUUCCUGGGCAGAGAGGCGCAGGUCUCCUCUGCUUCACUGUCUCCCACCCACCCGCAUCCCAGGCUUUCUCACAGGUCCCUGGCAUCUGUGGGUUCUAGUUCCAACCCUUCGAUCCUCCUUCCACCUCCCAAAACUGAACUUUUGUCUCCUUUUGAGUAGAAAGUGGAACAAUAUCUCAGGGGAGUGUGCCAUUUAAUAAUACCCUAGGUCAUUACACAGCACUUUCACUGAAAUAUAGGUUUUAUGAACAUAACUCAAAGAAAUACCUAAAAAUUAAUCUGUGGAUUACACCAAUUUAAAAUGUAUGGGAAGAAUACAAGUAGGAAGAGGGGGAAAACAAACAAAGGGAAAUAUAUUGACAUUCUGAAGUCUCUUUUCAUUUAACAACAAAUAUUUUCAAAGAACACAAGGCUUUCUCAGUCAUUAACAAUUCAUUUUUUUAUAAGCUACAUUCAAUUUUAAUCAUCUACAAUAUAUGAAAAAUCCCCCUCAGGAUUACCUGCACAAAAUUGCAAAAGAAAAAAAAAUUGUAAGAUUAUAUGACAGUUUCAAAGCUGAAUUACAAAUGUAUGCACCCAGCAGCAGAUAAAAAUGAAGGAGAAUACGGGAAUGAUUAAGUUUUCAAUUUCCCUACAAUGACUUGAUGUUAAUUUCAAUUCACUUACAAGCCUCUUUGUAAAGGAUUAAUAAAGAAAAGAAAUAAUCUGAUGGUUUGACAACAUGAAGGUACUGGGAAAUUAUUUCCCUGAGAGAUUGUCAUUUAGAAGCUGGAUAAGUUUCUGAUUCACUUGCGGCCUCAGUUUCUCAUCUUUAAACUGGGAAUUGGGAAAUGACAAUGAUGAUUCCCCAGUAGGAUUCAUGUGAGGAUUUCAU